UACGUAGGUGGCAAGCGUUAUCCGGAAUUAUUGGGCGUAAAGAGCGCGCAGGUGGUUGAUUAAGUCUGAUGUGAAAGCCCACGGCUUAACCGUGGAGGGUCAUUGGAAACUGGUCAACUUGAGUGCAGAAGAGGGAAGUGGAAUUCCAUGUGUAGCGGUGAAAUGCGUAGAGAUAUGGAGGAACACCAGUGGCGAAGGCGGCUUCCUGGUCUGUAACUGACGCUGAGGAGCGAAAGCGUGGGGAGCGAACAGG
rnacentral:rRNA from 1 species